GGGGCCUUUUCGUCCCCGGCGUCCGGGCGCGCCUCAUCGACCCCCACCCCGGCCCCUGCCCCCCGGCGGUGGCCGGUGGGCAGAAAGACCGAAACCCGCUCACUACCGCCUCUCGAAUCGCGGCUCUGCUGUUUGCGGGGCGUGCUAGAAACGUGGUCCUGGAAAGAAUGGCGUCCAUUUACAUAAUGCUUUGUUUGCGUUUCGCAAGUUUCUUUCGGUUAAAGCCACAGAAACCCCACCUCCUGCCCUUGGGUCGUUUCCACCGCGGCACCCUUUUCCGACAUUAGAAACAAUAGUGUGCGCCAAUGGAGGCCUUGUUUAUUCAGGGGAUGCCGGCCGGGGCUUCAGGAUGUUUCUGCGGCUUUUCCCGCGCGGCCUGGGCUCCUGCGGCUGCCUUUCGGGCCCAUGGGCGCAGCCACCGCACCCGACUCUCCGGGGGCGGCCCCGUGGCCCGCCAUCUUGGAAGGCCUUUUUUGCAGGUUCCUCCCGCUGAGGAAGUGUCGUUUAAGACGCUGGCAUAUGAGUUGUGAUUUCUGCCCUUUCCCCUUCUUCCUCGGGCUAAGCCAGACCAGCAAGGGCCCCGUGCACAACGUGCUUCAGAAUCCCUCAGGGAAAGCGGCUAACGUGGCGCUACUCCGCCUUCCCCGUUCCUUCCCCGAGGGGCGGCCGCCAUGUUGCCUGAACACAAAAUGGCGACACGUGGCUAGCAUUCGUCGCCAACGAGAAAUUGGGGUCGGCCCGAAAGCUCUGGAAUGUACCCCCCUUCCUCCCCGGGGCCUUUCCCGCUCCGCGAGUUUUAUGACCUAGAAAACCCCACAGGCUGGUCUGAAGCUCGGAAGCCUAAUUUUAACGCGUUUCCCUCCCUUUAAUUUGAAACGGGAACGCGAAUAACUGUAAAAUAGGAAGACACUUAAACAUAAAGAUGAAGUGCCUAAUUCAAGGUCACACAAUGUCGGGGAUGGACCUCCAGAUUUCCUUACUGACCUGCAUUAUCUGUGGAUAUCUGAGUGAAUUACACACCACCCAUUUUAUAGAUGAAGCCACUGAGACAUGGAGCAACUGACUGAGUAGUCACUGCACCACCCCUGGAGCCUCACACAUGACUCGUCUCCUCUCUCUCAGUGACCACAGUUACUUAUCCUGUAUUACAUGAGGGAAAUGAAACAAAAAGACUACAGCCCCACUCCCAGCUACUCCGUGAGGUGGUAGCUAGGUAAGACAUGGUCUUGUACCACAGUGGUUAAGAAUGUGACUUUGGAGCCAGCCUGCUAGGGGAUGAAUUCUGACUCAGCCAUUUACUAACUGGGUGACCUUAGUUCCCUGAGCACAUGCUGUUGAGUAAUCCUGCCUGGACCAGUCCUUCCCUCACCCUAGACUUCACCUUCAGUUCCCCUUUAUACCACCUGCUGAAGCUGCCAGCCAGCCUUUUCCACCACCCUCCCUCCCCCAAGGGUGUUUGGCUUCUCAGACCCUAGCCUGAGCUAGUGCCCUUGGCUCACUAGGGUCUUGCCAGGAAAGUCAAAGGAGAACAUACAUACUGCCGAAGAGUUCCUAAUAAUGAGAAUUCCCAUGCUGAAUUGUGAUUUAUAGUCAGCAUAGCACAUGUGUCACAUGAUUAUACUUAGGCUGAUUUUAGCCCGAAUAAUCUGCUUCUGUGAUCCUGUAUGUGGAAAACCUAGAAAUUUCUCUGUGAUCCUCCUUCCUGGAUCACUAAGAGACAAGUCAAGACAUAGGUUCAUUGUACCACCUGUAUUAAUCUGGGCCUUGUUGAGACCAUUUAAAAAAGGUGUGAUGCUAGAAGUAAGGUCCAGGCCUCCCACACACAGUUUCAAGGCUGUGACCAUAGUCAAAUCCUGUUGCUUUGAGUCCAAAGAGUUUAAAAUAGUGUUGGAAACCUCCUAGGGAAAACAAAAAAACAACACCAUAACUUCCUGGGUAAGGAAGUGACAUGUGCUGACUAGAGCAGGAGGGGUAGCCAAGGCUCCAAGUUCUAUUCUGGACCUGCUGUUGAUUUGAGGUGUGACAUUCAGCAAUCAGCUGAUGUUCUGUAGCUCGGAUUGGUUUCUCAUCUUCCGCAGAGAGAGUGAAAAGAGGCUGUGCUUGCAGUGGAAAAGGUGAAUACUGGUCUCUUGUCCUUUAGGAGAACCUCACCAUUGCACAUCCUGCCUCUCAUUUGAAUUUCCAGGCUUCUUUUUUAGAGUCUCGCUCUGUUGCCCAGCUUGGAGUGCAGUGGUGUGAUCUUGGCUCACUGCAACCUCUGCCUCUGGGUUUAAGUGAUUCUCUCACCUCAGCCUCCCAAGUAGCUGAAAUUAUAGGUGUGUGCCAUCAUGCCUGGCUAAUUUUUGUUUUUUAGUAGAGAUGGGGUUUCACCAUGUUGGCCAGGCUUGUCUCGAACUCCUGACCUCAAUUGAUCCACCUGCCUCGGCCUCCCAACCAGGCUUCUUUUUUAAAUGCAGAAAUACCCCCCAACCCAGAGUUAGUAUAGAAACCCAGCAAUGUUGUUUAUGUUUUACUUGAAUUCAUUUCAUCAGAAUUGCAUUCCUUUUAACAGUGUGAUUAGAUCAGCUCUUGUAGGGGAUGGCAGCUUCAAUAGGGUUUAGUAAAGAAAAGAUUUGUGUGGGGCACACACAUUGGCUUUGAUAGCUUGAGGAUACCAGGUACAUGAUAGUUUAGAUGGAUAACAGAAACUUGUGUCCGUUGAGAGCCAGGCAUGUAUUAGAUGCUUUCAUAUAUAAUUUAAUUGUAGUACAAACCAAUAAAGUAUUCCCAUUUUUUGCACGUGAGCAAGCUGAAAAAGAAGUUAUAUAACUUGUCCAAGGUCACACAGCUAAUAAAAGGGCUGAGCUAGGAUUUAUUUCUCCUCAAGUCUGUACAACGCCAAAACCCAUGCUGUUUUCACAGAGCUUUUCUGUCCCUGGUGAGAUUUAGGAAAGGGUGGGAGAAAGAAGGGUGAUGAGAUGCUGUCUUUACCUACCUCGCGAUUUGCUUGUUGGUACGUGUUUAGCUAGAACAUUCUGUUUAUAGAGUACUAGAUUCUAUAUAUAGAGAUGCUGCAACAACAUAUGUGGGAAAGAUACCAAUUGGCUGUAGGUGAGGAUUUCAAGAAGUCUUUGUUCUUCAUCACAGUGUAGGCCACACGUGUCAAAACACCACUGGUAAUUGGUUUGCUACUAAAGUGGCUCUGUCUUAUCAUCUACAUAAAAUCUGUUGAUGUGGCUCACAAAGUCAGCUGUGAUGGGGCUAGAGGUGAGGGUGUGGUGUGUUAUUGCAUGUACUGGAGCUGGUGGCACCUGUUUUGUGACUGUUAACAUUGAAUGAUUACUGAGUAAAUAAGAGGUGUCUCGGCCAGGCGCAGUGGCUCACACCUGUAAUCCCAGCACUUUGGGAGGCCGAGGCGGGCGGAUUACCUGAUGUCGGUACUUUGAGACGAGCCUGACUGACAUGGAGAAACCCUGUCUCUACUAAAAAUACAAAAUUAGCUGGGCAUGGUGGCUCAUGUCUGUAAUCCCAGCCACUUGGGAGGCUGUGGCAGGAGAAUCGCCUGAACCCGGGAGGGAGAUCGUGUCAUUGCACUCUAGCCUGGGCAACAAGAGUGAAACUCCGUCUCAAAAAACAAACAAACAAAAAAUUAUGUGUGUCUCUUUUUUUCUUUUCCAAGGGAGACAGAUAGCAGUGGGUGCUGGCACACAUUCAGGGAUGCUGGCCCCUGGGCUAGCAGAAGAGAUGGCUUGAAGGUGUCAGGUGAUGGAAUACAAAGAGCUGGUCUGUCAAGUGGUAUAAUUUCAGGCACCAAGAAUGUGUCCUGCCCCUCAAAAACUUGUCCUGGCUGUUUGCUAUUGCUUGGAAUCCCACAAUUGAAAUUUCUUUUUCUUGAUUUAAAUCUUUGAGACCCUGUUAAAAAUGAAGAGACUCCAGGAAGGGUUUUGAUUGUGAAACAUCUUGGUCAUGUUAAGUGGAAGUGUGAAUGAGUUUAUAAGAUUGAUUUCUGAGAACUAGACUGAGGAAGGGAUAGAGAGGAGAAGGCACUGAGCUCCUAGUUGUAGGGACAGGAAGGAGACGCCAAUGAGUUUGAGAUAAAGGCCUUGAAGAGAGAUGCUGGGUCCCUAAAGAAAUACUUGGUUUCCUUCGCAGUUUUGUCUGAGAAAAAACAAGCAGCUGAGGGUGAUGGUUAUGGAGGCCCAUGACCCCCAAAGAGGGUAUGCUGAGUAGACAGAUUUCCCACCAGCGCGUUCGGAUGGAGGCACAGUGUUGUGUGGAGAGCUGCUGACAGCUAGAAUGUAACCAGGAGUGCUGGACCUUUGGGUCUGUGGUUUACUGUGAUGUCCUCAGACAAGACUGUCACAGAUCUUAGAAGGGGGGAGGCACAGCUUCCGAGAAAUGAUGCAAAAUGGUGGCGCAAAAGAGGCCACCAGUGGCAACAAGGGUAGGGCAUUUCCUUCGUGGCUGGUGGUCACGGACAACUUCUGGUCUCAAUUUCCCAAUGAGCUAUGCUAAGAGCUUUACCGGAAAGCAAAAUAAGCCAUGCCAGAAGCAAUGACAAAGCACUUGAGGUGUCCAUGCAAAGGUACAGUUCCUCCUUGUGCACUAAUUUUGUGGAGCCAAAAUAGCUGAUCCAGAAGCUG